UACGUAGGUGGCGAGCGUUGUCCGGAUUUACUGGGCGUAAAGAGCGCGCAGGCGGUCGUUCAAGUCGGAUGUGAAAGCCCCCCGGCUCAACUGGGGAGGGUCAUUGAUACUGAUCGACUCGAAGGCAGGAGAGGGAAGCGGAAUUCCCGGUGUAGUGGUGAAAUGCGUAGAUAUCGGGAGGAACACCAGUGGCGAAGGCGGCUUCCUGGCCCUGUUCUUGACGCUG
rnacentral:rRNA from 1 species